UACGAGAGCCCCGAGCGUUAUCCGGAAUUAUUGGGCGUAAAGUGUGCGUAGGCGGCUAUGUUAGUCGUUUUUCAAAUCUGUCGGCUCAACCGGCAAACUGGAAACGAAACGGCAUUGGCUAGAGGCUGUAAGGGGUAUAUGGAACUCAUGGUGUAGGGGUGAAAUCCGUUGAUAUCAUGGGGAACACCAAAAGCGAAGGCAAUAUACUGGUACAGAUCUGACGCUGAGGCACGAAAGCGUGGGUAGCGAAUGGG
rnacentral:rRNA from 1 species